UUGGUAUAAUUUGCAUUUUAUGAUGAAAAAACUCAUGUUUGGAGAAAUAACAUAUGUAGCCCAAGGUUAUACAGUUGGAGAGGAAGAGAGCUGAAGAGGACAGAGGAUAAAGGGUAGAGUCGGAAGCAAUAAACUUAUUUCAGGUGGCUUUAAUCAAACUUAAGAGGACUGGAACUGAAGGUCAUCUUCCUCCUCUACACUUCAAGAGGAAAUGCUGCUGUAAAUAAGGCUCAUGUUGUUGACACGAACAUGCUUAGAAAAUGCUAUCGUAUACACAUCCAGGCAUAAAAACAGAGCUGUGUCCCAUUUGCUGCAACACAUUACAUGUCUCGCUGCCCAUAAAAGAACGCAACGGAGAGUGAGUGAAGGACAUGCAGGGCUCACAGAGGAACUGGAGGCUAAUCCAGGACCUGAGCGCCAGAGUGUGGAAUCUUUUGAGAGCUUUUCUCUUCUUUUUGGGUGGCAGAUUUCUAAAACUGGGUCACAGAAAGAACGAGAAAGUCAGCGACCUCUCCUGAUCAUCUGUCAGCUGUAUUCAAAAUAGCACUGGUGCUCACCACACAGCACAACUUGAGCCCUAUUUGGCAGGAAAGUGCUGUUCUUGCCUGAUGUCUUACCUUUCUUUCUGAACCUUUGAAGUCAGGUCUCACAGAGAAAAUAAAACCAUAUACACUACAGCAGAAUACAUAUUUUUAAGCUUAUGGCAUCUGGCCUACUUCUAAUAUUUUAUAUAGGGAACUUUCUGGAUGGAAGUUGUUUCGUGCGCCCUCUGCCUCUGGUUAUCUUGAUAGAUGACCACAUGAUCCCAACAUACCUUUGUCUACAAUGCCCUACAAUGGACACAUCUUGCUUUUUCCAGGUAUUUUCCUAACAGUGUUUUUAAAAAGUGUUAAGCUAUUCAGUCAAAUAGCUGCUUUCGAACUAGCUAUGAGAGAAACUUUUCAGGGACAAAUUGUUGACUAUUUUUAUUCCAUAUAUGUAGCAUCCUAGUUUUGAAGUCAGUAUGUCACGGAACUUUGGAAGAUAACUGUGUAGAGCAAUUUGGGGCACAUCAUCUUGCUUUUUAAAACCUGUAUAGCAAGGGUUGUCAUGUCUUGGUUUCUAACACCUUUAUCAAUAGAUAUGAAUAACACAUCUUACUUUCUUGUCCCAAGUAACAUGUUUCAAUGUCUCCUGCAUGAGAUAAACAUAAAGUCGUGUGCAAGAUAUACUAAAGAGUGGUUAAAAUCUGGUUCCAAUAGUUAUUAACUCAAGUCCUUUUAUUUUUUCAAUUGUGUAGUUUGUUUUCAGAAUUUCUUUUUUUCUUGCUUUAACUCAUCUUGAU